rnacentral:miRNA from 1 species
UGUCCUCUUCUCCCUCCUCCCA